CCUUCUGUGGUGUAGUUGGUAGUAUCUUGGCUUAGUAAUUAUAAGGCCCAGGUUCAAGUCCCGGUGGGGGGA